rnacentral:rRNA from 1 species
UACGGAGGGUGCAAGCGUUAUCCGGAUUCACUGGGUUUAAAGGGUGCGUAGGUGGGAUGGUAAGUCAGUGGUGAAAUCUCCGAGCUUAACUCGGAAACUGCCUUUGAUACUAUCAUUCUUGAAUAUUGUGGAGGUUAGCGGAAUAUGUCAUGUAGCGGUGAAAUGCUUAGAUAUGACAUAGAACACCAAUUGCGAAGGCAGCUGGCUACGCAUAUAUUGACACUGAGGCACGAAAGCGUGGGGAUCAAACAGG